GUAAGACGCUUGCCUCGCUUCAUUGGAGGUGAGCCGUUCGAAUGCGUUGUGCCAAGUGGGCCACUUUUGGUAAGCAGAACUGGCGCUGUGGGAUGAACCAAACGUGUGGUUAAGGUGCCUCAGCUAACGCUUAUGAGAUACCAUGAAAGGUGUUGGUUGAUAAAGACAGCAGGGCGGUGGCCAUGGAAGUCGGAAUCCGCUAAGGAGUGUGUAACAACUCACCUGCCGAAUCAACUAGCCCUGAAAAUGGAUGGCGCUCCAGCGUCAUACCUAUACCACACCGUCGCGGCAAUAUAUUCACCCAGGAUGUGAAGCUGCGAUGAGUAGGAGGGCCGCUGCGGUAUGCGUGGAAGCCUAAGGCGUGAGCCUGGGUGGAGCUGCCGUGGGUGCAGAUCUUGGUGGUAGUAGCAAGUAUUCAAAUGAAAACUUUGAAGACUGAAGUGGAGAAGGGUUCCACGUGAACAGCACUUGAACGUGGGUGAGUCGGUCCUAAGUGAUAGGAGAACUCCGUUCUGAAAUGAGGCAAUUUGUUUUCUCUUGGUCCUAUUUGGGGAGCUUGCCUAAUCCUAUCGAAAGGGAAUCGCGUUAAUAUUCGCGAACUCGGCUGCGGAGAUUGCUCCUUCGGGAGCACAUGUGGUAACACAACCAAACUUGGAGACGCUAGCGGUGGUCCCGGGAAGAGAUUUCUUUUCUUUGUUAGGAACAGAACCCCUGGAAUCGGCUUGUCCGGAGAUAGGGGCGUUGUUGCCGUAAAGCACCGCGGCUCUUGCGGUGUCCGGAGCAUUAUCGUUGGCCCUUGAAAAUCCAAGAGCGGUAUUAUGAUUUUCGUGUCGAGCCGUACCCAUAUCCGCAUCAGGUCUCCAAGGUGAAAAGCCUCU
rnacentral:rRNA from 1 species